GACGAACGCUGGCGGCGUGCUUAACACAUGCAAGUCGAGCGGUAAGGCCCUUUCGGGGGUACGACGAGCGGCGAACGGGUGAGUAACACGUGGGUGACCUCGCCCUCCAGCUCUGGGAGUAAGCCUGGGAAACCGGGGUCUAAUACCGGAUAUGACUCCAUGACGCAUGUUGUGGGGUGGAAAGCCUUGUGCGGCUGAGGAUGGGCCCGCGGCCUAUCAGCUUGUUGGUGGGGUGAUGGCCUACCAAGGCGACGACGGGUAGCCGGCCUGAGAGGGCGACCGGCCACACUGGGACUGAGACACGGCCCAGACUCCUACGGGAGGGCAGCAGUGGGGAAUCUUGCGCAAUGGGCGAAAGCCUGACGCAGCGACGCCGCGUGAGGGAUGA
rnacentral:rRNA from 1 species